rnacentral:rRNA from 1 species
CCUGCGGAAGGAUCAUUACCGAGUGCGGGCCCUCUGGGUCCAACCUCCCAUCCGUGUCUAUCUGUACCCUGUUGCUUCGGCGUGGCCACGGCCCGCCGGAGACUAACAUUUGAACGCUGUCUGAAGUUUGCAGUCUGAGUUUUUAGUUAAACAAUCGUUAAAACUUUCAACAACGGAUCUCUUGGUUCCGGCAUCGAUGAAGAACGCAGCGAAAUGCGAUAAUUAAUGUGAAUUGCAGAAUUCAGUGAAUCAUCGAGUCUUUGAACGCACAUUGCGCCCCCUGGUAUUCCGGGGGGCAUGCCUGUCCGAGCGUCAUUGCUGCCCUCAAGCACGGCUUGUGUGUUGGGCUUCCGUCCCUGGCAACGGGGACGGGCCCAAAAGGCAGUGGCGGCACCAUGUCUGGUCCUCGAGCGUAUGGGGCUUUGUCACCCGCUCCCGUAGGUCCAGCUGGCAGCUAGCCUCGCAACCAAUCUUUUUAACCAGGUUGACCUCGGAUCAGGUAGGGAUACCCGCUGAACUUAAGCAUAUCAAUAA